rnacentral:rRNA from 1 species
GUGGCAGCAGCCGCGGUAAUACGGAGGGUACAAGCGUUAAUCGGAAUUACUGGGCGUAAAGCGCGCGUAGGCGGUUAAGUAAGUUGGAUGUGAAAGCCCUGGGCUCAACCUAGGAACUGCAUUCAAAACUAUUUAACUAGAGUACGAGAGAGGAGAGUAGAAUUUCUAGUGUAGCGGUGAAAUGCGUAGAUAUCAGAAGGAAUACCAAUGGCGAAGGCAGCUCUCUGGAUCGUCACUGACGCUAAGGUGCGAAAGCGUGGGUAGCAAACAGGAUUAGAUACCCUGGUAGUCCACGCCGUAAACGAUGAGGACUAGCCGUUGGGGAGAAUUAACUCUCCAGUGGCACAGCUAACGCAUUAAGUUCUCCGCCUGGGGACUACGGCCGCAAGGCUAAAACUCAAAUGAAUUGACGGGGGCCCGCACAAGCGGUGGAUCAUGUGGUUUAAUUCGAUGCAACGCGAAGAACCUUACCUACCCUUGAAAUCCAGCGAAGUUCCUAGAGAUAGGAAUGUGCCUUCGGGAACGCUGUGACAGGUGUUGCAUGGCUGUCGUCAGCUCGUGUCGUGAGAUGUAUGGUUAAGUCCAGUAACGAGCGCAACCCCUAUCCUUAUUUGCCAGCGCAUAAUGGCGGGAACUAUAAGGAGACUGCCGGUCAUAAACCGGAGGAAGGCGGGGACGACGUCAAGUCAUCAUGGCCCUUAUGGGUAGGGCUACACACGUGAUACAAUGGGUGGUACAGAGGGUCGCCAAAGCGCGAGCUGGAGCCAAACCCUUAAAACCAUUCUUAGUCCGGAUUGGAGUCUGCAACUCGACUCCAUGAAGUUGGAAUCGCUAGUAAUCGCGAAUCAGAAUGUCGCGGUGAAUACGUUCUCGGGCCUUGCACACACCGCCCGUC